rnacentral:rRNA from 1 species
CGCAAUGGGCGAAAGCCUGACGCAGCAACGCCGCGUGAACGAUUAAGCCCUUCGGGGUGUAAAGUUCUGUCAGUGGGGACGAAACUUGACGGUACCCACAGAGGAAGCACCGGCUAACUCCGUGCCAGCAGCCGCGGUAAUACGGAGGGUGCAAGCGUUGUCCGGAAUCAUUGGGCGUAAAGAGUUCGUAGGUGGCAUGUUAAGUCUAGUGUUAAAGGCCGAAGCUCAACUUCGGUAAGGCACUGGAUACUGGCAAGCUUGAAUGUGGUAGAGGUAAAGGGAAUUCCUGGUGUAGCGGUGAAAUGCGUAGAUAUCAGGAGGAACAUCGGUGGCGUAAGCGCUUUACUGGGCCAUAAUUGACACUGAGGAACGAAAGCCG